AUGGCCACGGCUCUGUCCUCCACGCCGGCGGGCGGGGGCCGCUCCCUGGGCCGCGCCGCCGCCGCCUCGCCGCUGAGCCCGACGCGGCUGAGCCGGCUGCAGGAGAAGGAGGAGCUGCGGCAGCUCAACGACCGCCUGGCCGCCUACAUCGAGCGGGUGCGGGCGCUGGAGGCCGACAAGGCGGCGCUGCAGCAGCGGCUGGCCGAGCAGGAGGCGGGCAGCGGCCGGGAGCUGGGCAGCCUGCGGCUCCGCUACGAGGCGGAGCUGGCCGACGCCCGCCGGGCGCUGGACGACAUCGCCAUCGAGCGGGCCGCGCUGCAGGUGGAGCUGGGCAAGAUCGGCGAGGAGCACCGGCAGCUGCACAGCAGGAAUUCAAAGAAGGAAGCAGACUUAAACCUGGCACAGGCUCGCGUGAGGGACCUCGAUGCUCAGCUGAACGCGAAGGAAGCCGACCUAGCAACAGCCCUGAGUGAGAACCGAAGCCUGGAGAACGACCUCCGGGAACUGAAGGAUCAAGUAGUCACUCUGAAGAUCUCACUGGAGGAUACCAAAAAGCAUCUCCACGGUGAAAUGUUGAGGAGAGUGGAUCUGGAAAAUCAAAUGAAAACUUUGCAAGAGCAAAUGACAUUCCAGAAGCGCCUUCAUGAAGAUGAGCUAAAAGAGACAAAGAGAGUCCAUGAGAGCAGGAUAGCAGAAAUAGAAUCCGGCCGUCAGAGAGAAUUUGAAAGUAAGCUCUCGGAUGCUCUGCAAGGGCUCAGAAAACAACAUGAAGAACAAAUUCAAGGAUACAAAGAAGAGCUGGAACGAACAUUCAGUGCAAAAAUGGAGAAUGCCCAGCUGUCUGCGGCAAGGAAUAGUGACUUUGCCAAUGCUGCUCGGGAGGAGCUAAUGGAAACGAAGCUGAGAGUCGAUGCUCUGACGUCCCAAGUUAGUCAAUAUCAAAGCCAGAAUGCUGCUUUGGAGAACAGAAUAAGGGAGCUACAAGAGACACUGGAUUAUGAUCGUGAUCUCCAUCGAAGACGUAUGGCAGAAAAAGAGAAAGAAAUGGCACAAACCCAGCAGCAGGUACAAGCACAGUUGGAAGAAUAUGAGCAUCUCUUAGAUGUGAAACUGGCUUUAGAUCUGGAAAUAAAUGCCUACCGAAAGAUGCUGGAAGGAGAGGAGCAGAGACUAAAGCUCUCACCUAGUCCAUCUUCACAUGGCACUGCAACUCAAGCAACAACGAGUCAAGGGCGCCGGUUUCUGCAUGGGAGAAAAAGGAAAAUGAAAGAAGCCAAAAUGAGAGGACGCAGUACUGGAUUUAAGACUGUUCAGCGUGCUUCAUCUUCUGGAAAUGUGUCUAUUGAAGAAAUUGAUACUGAGGGAAAAUUUGUCAGGCUUAAAAACAACUCUGAAGAGGAUCAACCGCUGCAUGGAUGGGUGUUGAGACGACGGCUUGGAAGUAUCUCUGAUGCAACAUACAGAUUCCCUUCACGGUUCACUCUUCAGGCAGGCCAGAUGGUUACAAUUUGGGGUGCAGAUGCUGGUGUAAGCCCAGGUCCUAGUGAUCUGGUCUGGAAGUCUCAGUCUUGGGGAACAGGGGACACCAUUGGUGUUACACUCAUUACAGAUGAUGGUGAGGAACUGGCAGAGAGGAAGAUAAUGCAUGUACCCAGAGGAGAGGGAAGUGGUGAACAAGAUGAUGACUAUGAGGAAGAAAUAACUGGAAGUGAAAUGGAGUUUCCAUCUCAGACCAAAAGAAGAAGAAAAAAGAAAUGUUGUUUGGUUUCAUGAUAGUGAUUCCUGUGAGCAUCCUAAAGCAGCUUUACAACACAACUGUGAGCCACUUACGCAAAAUGAGGACCCUAGCUGUUCUAUUAUGUAAUGAAGACAAGGUGAUCAUCUAAACAUCUCAGCGCAAAGUGACAUUUUGGACUACAUGUGUUCUAGUAUCCUCUGCAAUACCUGAAACUUGGAAUUCACACCUAUCUGAUGUGUGUGUAAGAAGUGUUGUCCAUAAUGUGAAAUUUCCUACUGUCUGACACUGGACCCUGUCUUGGAUUCAACUAUUUGAAGAGCAGCAAAGUGCAAUCUUCUUAAAUUUUUUUGCUCUAAAUUGAACAUAAGGAUCUCAUUUCCAUAACUUGCUUGAAUACGGGAGAGCAUACAGUUUACAAUACUUAAUGUUAGACAUGUGUCCCAAAAUGAUGAUAAAUACUUAAGACUGAGCAUGAGGCUGCCCAGCUUUCUGAAUAUUUUGAUAUGGGUUUUCUCUGAAGGCAAUUUCUGUCUUGAGCCUGAGUAGGAAACUGUGGCCCAGAUUACAGCCUAGCUUGCACCUUGAGCAAGUCUGAACUUGGCUGUGGGAAAAGCAUUUUAUCCUGAAGGAGUGCUGAGUGUCUGAAGUGUUUCCUGCUUAGAUCCUGACACUGAAAUACAGAACUGGUCUAGAUCACUUGCUAGAACUUUCUAGUGUUUAAAAUUUUAAAAUUAAAAGCAACUUGUAAAAUGGUUUUUUACUUGUUUGUUAUUAAAUGUACUGUUCUGUUCUAGCACCAGGAAAUCUAGAGACCUUGGUAUUUGCUAUUUCUAGAUACAAUACAGCACAGCAUAGCUUUUACUUGUUUGCUGGAACUGGACAGUUGCAUCCUAUAAAUGUGUGUGUUUUUUGGGGAAGCAUCUCAUUCCAACUCAUAAGGUACUCUGAAUAGUGCUGACAAGCCAGCCUCUUAAGGGGAUAGGAAGCAUGUUGAAAAAAAGCAGAGCUAGGAAGCAUCAACUGCAAUAAAAGAUGCAUCAGAAAUACCUGCUCUUAAUGUUCCUGUGCACCAAAUGUUUGAUGUAAGUAGGGGGAAGUGCAGUCUGCGGUAGUGCUUUGCCUAUGUCUAACCAGAUAGAUGGGGAAUACUGUCUCUUGGCCAGCAGGUAAUUUACUGUAACUUCAAUGGCUUUGCUGCCCACAGAGGCACAAGUGACACUUGGCAGCAGGCAGUCAUCCUUCACAGUCAUUAUUCCACCACCACUACCUGCCCCAGCCUACCUGGUUGCUGUAUGGUGAAAAAAUAGCCCUUUCUCUGUAAGAACGUGAAGGGAGGGAAGCAGCUGCAAUUGCAGACCUCUUCAGCUACUGGAAUAGUUUCUGAUGUUCUCUGCUGCCUUGCCAAAGUCUUCAGUGUUACAGAACUGAAUUUCAGAUCUGAUCUGUGUUCGGAUGCAGUGAGGCUUUUCUUAGACUGGUUUAAAUUUAGUUAAAUUAAGCUAUUUAAUAAUUGAAGUUUUAAGAUAUGGCAACCAAAUGCUGACCGAAUGCUUGCAUUUUAGCAGAUCUAAGAUUCUUGUACCUUAUGGCCUAAACUUAAAUAGAUGCUGCUAUAACUUUGCUACAUUUAUCUUGAUGUGUUAAAACUUUUUU